rnacentral:rRNA from 1 species
CAGUCGCCGCGGGAAUACGAAGGGGGCUAGCGUUGUUCGGAAUUACUGGGCGUAAAGGGCGCGUAGGCGGUUUGUUAAGUCUGUUGUGAAAUCCCCGGGCUCAACCUGGGAAUGGCAAUGGAUACUGGCAAGCUAGAGUGUGUCAGAGGAUGGUGGAAUUCCCGGUGUAGCGGUGAAAUGCGUAGAGAUCGGGAGGAACAUCAGUGGCGAAGGCGGCCAUCUGGGACAACACUGACGCUGAGGCACGAAAGCGUGGGGAGCAAACAGGAUUAGAUACCCCGGUAGUCCCUGUCUCUUAUAC